AUGCUGAUUUGAUCUGCUUUACCCUGCUCAAUCAACAUAAAUUUAAUGAAACAUCAAAUGUAGAGGUACUCAUUUUCACCAAAAGAAAAGAAGUGAAAAAAUUGCAGCUUUAAGAACAAUUGCAGAAGAGACUGCAUAGUUUUUCCAUAGGCAGCUAACAGAAAGCCAUGGAAAGAAAAAGGUUUAAAUUGAGUAGGACACACAAUUUCAAUGAUAAGCAAUUGUUGGGCCCGCCUCUGUCUGCAAUAUCAUAAAUUUUUGCUCUCCACAUGUGCUCUACACAACGCUGCUGAUAGUUUGUCUUUUUGUUUUUUUUUGGGCUAAAGUUCCAUCCUAGAGUGCACAACAUAUUUUGCCACUUUGUUGGCAGAAAUCUGAUAGUUUCUAGGAGUUGAAAUCAAUCCUAGAGAUGAAGUAGACACCCAGUUUUUUCAGCCAUUAUUGUGAUUUCAGACUAAGGCUUUAUAUUUUUGUACCUAUUGAGCACCUCUUAAGUGACAAGAAGUGGCUUCCUUUUCCCUUUUUUGUUUUUGGAGGCAAUUUAAUAUUCGGACAUGCCGAGUCUACUUUUUUGGAUUUCACACGCACUAACUUCCUAAACAACUGCAGAACAAAUUGCUGCUAUAUCUACUGCAGAUAGAUACAUUCCCCCUUGCUUCACUUUCCAUAAAUAAUCAAACCUAAUAAAGAAAGAACAAU
rnacentral:misc_RNA from 1 species